GAGACAGGGCCAACGAGUUACGUUAAGUAGCAAGGUUAAGCACGUAAGGUGCGGAGCCGUAGCGAAAGCGAGUUUUAACUGAGCGUUCAGUUACUGGACGUAGACCCGAAACCGGGCGACCGACCCAUGAGCAGGAUGAAGCGAAAGUAAAAUUGCGUGGAGGUCCGAACCCACGAGCGUUGAAAAGCUCGGGGAUGACUUGUGGGUAGCGGUGAAAUUCCAAUCGAGCCCGGAGAUAGCUGGUUCUCCCCGAAAUAGCUUUAGGGCUAGCCUCAAGGUGAGAGAUACGGA
rnacentral:rRNA from 1 species